rnacentral:rRNA from 1 species
UUUCCUUCGGGACUGAUUAUUUUGUGACUGAGUGGCGGACGGGUGAGUAACGCGUGGGUAACCUGCCUUGUACAGGGGGAUAACAGUUGGAAACGGCUGCUAAUACCGCAUAAGACCACAGCACCGCAUGGUCGAUACGCCAAAGAUUUAUCGCUGAAAGAUGGCCUCGCGUCUGAUUAGCUAGUUGGUGAGGUAACGGCCCACCAAGGCGACGAUCAGUAGCCGGACUGAGAGGUUGAACGGCCACAUUGGGACUGAGAUACGGCCCAGACUCC